CCGCCGGGACAUCUAACGUCAAUCUUAGGAGAACAUCGACCGGGUGCAUCUGUUCCCAAUGCAUAUCCUCUAGUAGGCACUGUGUAUAGCUGGUUGAUGGUGAUCCAGUUCUUUACCCUAUCACCAAAUAACUCGAAACAUAGAUCCGCGUAAUCCUUGAAAUCGUCUCUGAGCAUAUUAUAAAAUCAUUUCGUUAGUGCAAGAAUAUGUUGUUAUCAUUCUUUAUAAGCGACAUGGCAUCAACAACAUACACGAUCGUUUUGUUCAAGAAACCGUUAUAUUCAUCUUGUAGUGUUUGAGGAAGGUCCCAAUGAAAGAGGGUAACAAAGGGCGUCAUAUUCUUUGCGACGAGGCCAUCUAUGAGACCGUUGUAGUACUUAAUAGCUCCUGGGUUCACUCC
rnacentral:lncRNA from 1 species